rnacentral:lncRNA from 1 species
UGGAUUCUACAUUGCCCUGAGUGUUCCUUCCCAGUGAAGCUCAGAGAGACAAUCCUGAUUCUUCAUCCUCUUCAAGGCUCGAGGCGUAGAUGAUGUAGAAAACCCAGAUGAGCCCAAAUAUGCCAAACAGGAUCCAUCCGAGCAGGUUGUUGCUCAACCCGAACGGGAGCCCCGUCCCUUCGGUGCUCAUCCUCUCGUCCACCAGAGCCAUGGCUGGGCUCGACAUGGUUGCCGCGCACAGGGCCGUGGCCAGCGCCGCGCUCAUGCCCAUGCCCGAGGCUUUCUCAGGCUCCAAGGGCUUCCCCUCCGCGGAGCACCUGACUCUUCCCUUCAUUGCAAUUGCAGGCAAUCCUGUGACCGUAAUAAUUGAUGAAAAAAGGAUUCAGGGUGUCGGUUUCGCUCAUCCUAUAAGUUCAUUCCUGUACUAUUGAAGAACUGAUAACAGCUGCAAGCAAUCACUUAAAUUCAAUAGGAAGAGAAGUGUAGCCUAGGUGGUCUAGUUGAAUCUACCUACCUGUCUAAUUGUAUCUAUCUCAUAAGUUAUUUAACCAAUCAGAUAGUGAGAUCAACCAGCUGACCAAGUGAUCAAAUCAGUGAGAACACCUCUCAAAACUAAUCCCAAAAGAAAUGGUCAAAAGACAGUAAGAGGGAGAUGGGCAGCUUACCAAGAACAGGGGAGGAUGAGGCCCCAAGAGGUCUCUUCUGAGAGAGACCUCUGCAUGAGACCAUGGAGGUUGCAGAGCUUGCAGUGAUGGUGGCCAUCUCUCCUCUUCUCUCUCUUUCUCUCUCCAAAAAGAUGUAUUGGGGUGUGACUGGCAAGUGAG